CGGCCCGAGAACCUCUUCAGGGGACACUCCUUACCAGAAUGAAUUCAUCUGAUUGUGCCUGGGGCAGCUGUCGACGGGAAGGCAGACUUUCUACAUAAAUCUGAAAGCUGAUACGAAACAGACCGAGAGAGGGCAGAAUCCGAGAAAGGUGAAGUUGAAUGUUGGGGACACUGCGUGGAAGUGUCACGAUUGAGCAACCGGUUCAGCAGUCUGUGAGAUUGACCGCGGGAAGCCAGGAUUCCAGGGUUCUGGCCAGAACCUGCAGGUGCAGACAGCACGGAGUUUAGGCACACGGCCAACUUGAAAGGAGAUUUCUUUCAAACAUGGAAAGUCUUCAGAAUAGCGUGAAAAAGAAAGCGACUGAAAGGCAUUACAAGGCUGAAGUACUAAUUACAGGCGAGCAAUUAAGGCUUCGACUGCAUGAUGGAAAAUUAAUCAAAGAUCGUCGCUAUAAUCUGCGAACCUAUCCAAACUGCUUUGUUGCCAAAGAGCUAAUUGAUUGGUUGAUAGACCAUAAAGAAGCACAUGACAGGGAGACAGCCAUAAAACUAAUGCAAAAGUUAAUGGAUCAUAACAUCAUUCAUCAUGUUUGUGAUGGACAUUCAGAGUUCAAAGAUGCAAAACUUCUCUACAGAUUCCGAAAAGAUGAUGGAACAUUUCCAUUAAGUAAGGAAGUAAAGGUGUUCAUGAGGGGCCAAAGUUUAUAUGAAAAGCUUUUAAGCUCUGAGGAUGCAAUCAUGAAAUUACAAGAAGAAAAUGGAUUGAAGUACCAGCGUGCAGUGUUGGGCUGUGAAAUCAUUGACUGGCUAAUAAAGGAAGGGGAAGCUUCAUCGAGGAAGGAAGCAGUGGAGCUGUGCCGUAGAGAGCUUGAACAUGGAAUCAUUCAGCAUGUCUCCAAUCGUCACCAUUUCUUUGACAGCAACUUAUUAUAUCAGUUCCGCUUAAACUUUCGUCGGAGGCGACGACUCACUGAGCUGUUGAGCGAAGAUUCAGGGACAGCACAGGAAUCUCAUGACAGCCCAUUCUGUCUUCGAAAGCUGAAUCCUGAACAAGAUGGCUCAAGUUUUCUUUCAGUGCAAACAAACAAAGAGAUAAAGGUGGUGUCAGCUGUGCGCCGCAGCAGCAUUACCUCUGCAGUAACAGGAAGUGCAGCCUUUUACAAUACAGCUCCCAGCCUUGCCUGCUUGCCUUCAGUGGAGUGUAACCCUAAAUCAGUGUUGAAGAGACCAGUAACUAAUGAAGAACUCCUAUCACCUGGAGCACCUUACUUAAAGAAAACAUUAACAAUUGUCGGUGAUGCUGUGGGUUGGGGUUUUGUGGUCCGAGGAGCAAGUCCAUGUUACAUCCAGGCAGUAGAUCCCGGUGGUCCAGCGGCAGCAGCUGGAAUAAAGGUCAGACAGUUUGUUGUCUCUGUGAACAGCAGGCAUGUCAUGCAUUUGGACUACAAAACAGUCAGCAACAUUAUCAUGACUGGACCCCGCACUCUAGUAAUGGAAGUUAUGGAAGCAAUUGACUGAGAAGAUGUGUUCAGUUGAUUGAAAAACUGGUUGAUUUUCACAACUGUUCUCAGAAAGCAAAUAGUUUCAAAUACUUUAAGCUAGAAAUCAUUAUUCAUGUAAAUGUAGGUACACAAAUUUGGUUUGCAAAGAAUCAGAUAAAUCAAAAGGAAUUUUUCAAAAAUGCAGAUUUUUCCCUUGGUUGCAGCUCCUGAAAAAGAGUAUACAUGUGGAAUAAAGAUGAAAUGUUUUGGUCUGAUACCAGAGGGCAGAGUCAGCAAGCACACACAAGACCUGAGUCCAUUGCAGCACUUCAAGAUGUGCCUCCUCUUGGUCCUUCCUAUCCUCUGGACACAAACAACUUGUUCACCUGCUGAGAACAUUCUGAUUAUAAUGAACUCGGUUUUCAGGGAAGAAAUAUCACCUGAUUCUCUGUUUUGAUGAAGCAAUAGACAAUAGGUGCAGGAGUAGGCCAUUCAGCCCUUCAAGCCAGCACCACCAGCCUGUGUGAGGAAGUUAAUUGGUGAUCCAAAAUCCUGCAUAGUCCAGCACGUCCUUGGUUAAGAGGGUGCUGUAUUUGGGAUAAAGUACCUAUAAUAGACAAGGUUUCACUGUUUGCAUGAUAUUUCUCAUUUGUCAUACAAUUGUGUGAAGUAUUUGUCAGCACAAGGAGUAAUUUCUAAGCUAAUAUCCACUUGCUGAGAAACUUUACAGACAUUUGAUCUAUUUUUAUUGUAUAUUUAUAAUUUUUUUUGUACCUUGAACAAGGGUGUAGGUUAUACUGACAUCUUUUGUUCACAGGAUUUACCAACAUUUUCAAGUGGUGAGGAAUUAGAGUUGCAGUUCUUACAGAUCCAAUUAAACCUUUUGUAUAACUUUGUACUGUUUUAAAAGCCUAUCCUGUAAUCUCUAUUGGAAUGUGACACUUACAAGAAAUAAAAUGACCUCCCACUGAAAGAACGCUGGAUCCAGGCCAGAUCGGAAGCACCAAGGUCACGAUUCCCUACUAAAAUGAAAGGCUGGCUCUUGUCCAAGUUUCCAUGUCACCGUUGAAAACAAUCCAUGCUUAUCUGAAUAUGGAACCAGCAGAAGUGGGUUUAAACUAGUUUCUUCCAAAACCACCAGAGCUUUACCCUCCCUUCACAGAGCACUUACUCUGUACUACAUUAGGAUUUCCGUUGUCCUUCUUAACUACCCUGUAAAAGGAAUAGCAAUGGUUAUAAAGGUGUCUCUCUAUUUUUCUAGAUGUAGGACUACUGGUCAAAGGCAUCUUGUAUGUUUUCUUCUAUAAAAUGUUCUCGUCACUGAUAGAAAAUUCUGCUCCAGGUGGGUCACAUCCCAAUUCAUUCAGGAGAAAGAAAAUCAAGCUAUCACCAAAGACAUGCACACAAUACAAGUGCUCUCAGGCAAAAUUUAUUCAGGAAUUUUAAAGUGCCAUUGUAAAGAAAAAAACUGAUUCAUGGUAAGUGCAAAGAUUUCUUCAUUUAUAUUUUAGAAUUAGGCAAUAAUGUAAUUAAACAUUUCCUCUUUAAUGAGUGAGAUAAGUGCCAAAUUAUGACAGACAUUGUGCUAUUUCUGUAGUAAAUUGCUAAACACCUAAAACCUUUAACAACUUUUGGAGAAAAGAGAUAUUCAACCUAUAAAGCCAAGCUAUUUUCACUCUAGAUUAUAAAAGGGAAAAUGUAUAGGGAAAUAUUGCAAUUAAGACCACGCCAGUAAUAAAUGCAGAAAAUGCUGGAAACAUUACAGCAGGUCAGGCAGCAUCUAUGGAGAGAAAGGCAGUUGACAUUUCCAGUCUCCCCAUCUCCUACAUCCUCACCACCAACAAUAACUGCGAAGAGCUCAUGAAUUUCUUUGCCACUGAUAUCAAAACCAUUCAAUCAGCUGCAAGUGCUGCCUACCUCCCUUUUACCAGUUCAUUGGCUCAGACUUCCUGAGGUUCACCUGGUUCUGAAUUUCAAACCUUCUCUUUUUUUCUUACAUCUCCCUUCAUAUCCUCAGGAAGCUUAUCCAUUAGAUACAUUGCCUGCUUCCUUGACCCUAUUUCCACCAAACUGUGGAACACCUAACUUCCCUUUCUGGUCCUCCCAGUCACUUUGGGCUGCAGCUUCAUUGUUCUUUGAAAGUGGAGUUGCAGGUUGACAGGGUAGUAAAGAAGAUGUUUCGUAUAGUUACCUUUGUUGAUCAGUGCAUUGAGUGUAGGAGUUGGGAGGUCAUGUUGUGUCUAUACAGGACAUUGGUUAGGCCAUUUUUGGAAUACUGUAUUCGGGUGUGGUCUCCCUGCUAUGGGAAAGAUGUUGCAAAACUUGAACGGGUUUGGAAAGGAUUUACAAGAUUGUUGUUAGGGUUGGAGGCUUUGAGCUAUGGGGAGAUGCUGAAUAGGCUGGUGCUAUUUUCCCUGGAACUUUGGCAGAUGAGGUGUGACCUCAUAGAAGUUUGUCAAAUCAUGGGGGGAGAUGAAUAGGGUGAAUAGUUGAGGUCUUUUCCCCAGGGUAGGGGAGCCCAAAACUAGAGGGCAUAGGUUUAAGAUGAGAGGGGGAAAGAUUCUAAAAGGAACGUAAGGUGUAACAAUUUCACACAGGGGGUGGUGCAUGUAUGGAAUGAGCUGGCAGAGGAAGUGGUGGAGACUGGUACAAUUGCAACAUUUAAAAGACAUCUGGAUUAGUAUAUGAACAGGAAGGGUUUGGAGGGAUAUGCGACAAAUGCUGGCAGAUUGGUCUAGAUUAAUGUGGAAUAUCUGAUCAGCAUGGAUGAGUUGGACUCCAGGGUUUGUUUCCAUGCUGUACAUUACUAUUACUGACGUGGUUAGGUGUUCUGUCUUUUCAAGUGUUUUCCUCCUCUUCUUUGAAUCUGUUAUUAAUCAUGUUCUCAUGAAAACCAUUGAUCCUUACGUAUUUGCAAACCACCACCCUGCAUCGAACUUCCCUUGCUUGUCCAAAAUCUUUGAACAAAUUAUCACCUCCCAAAUCUAUGCUCAUCUUUCACAGAACUCUCAUCUUUACAUCCCUUUCAUUGAUUUGAAUCCUUUCAAACAAGUUUCUGUCCAGUUUAUCAUACAUAGAGCGUUUGUUUCAAAAUCACAAAUGACAACCAAUCUCACUGUCACAAAGGCAGCUUGUUGUCAUAUUUGACUGAUAAGGUGAGUUUCCAAAUCAUUAUUUGGUGGUAGCUUGUCAGCGCCCAAAUACAAGGAGGUGUUGGGAAUGACAAGUUUUCUGAAAUGGUUUCAUUUUAAAUUGUUUAUUUAAUUUCAAGUUAGAGGUCUUGUGGCUAACUGUAUGGCUGCAAGAUUUAUGUGAUUCUUGUUGCAAUAAAGGAUUGUCUUUGACAGACUGAGGAUUUGUAGGAGGCCAUUGUGGUAUUGGGUAACAGGAAUUUCCUUAAGUUAUCCCUGAAUUUCAGAUGGGACAGUCUGCAAGAGUCUAUAUGAGGGAGUGCAGAAAGAGAGGCAGCUGGUCUUCCAUCAUCAGUGGUGAAAAUGCUGGUCUUGUCAGUCACCACCAAAAUGCAAAUGGGAGUUCAGGAAAAGAAUGAAUAGACUGGGUUCAUGAGGAUUUAAAUGAGUUUGCAAGAGUCACUAAUUCGGCUAGAGGGAAGAUUCUCCAAUUUGUCCCUCACUCCGGAGAUCAGUUCUGGGGCUAGAAAUUAUCCAGCUUGAAAUGUAAAAGGAAGUAAGCUAUCGAGAGUUGAGAAUAGCUUUGGGUUGGUUCUGGAGAGUGAAUUAUCCACUUCAGAAACAGAAUAAAUGGUGAGGAUUUUCAACUGCUUUAACAGUGAAGUGGUAAACUUAUCUUGAAUUUAGAUUGUCAAUUGCCCUCUGAAUAGUGUUUAGUUAGUAUUGCUUUUAGUUUAUUUCUUAUAUAAAACAUGUAAGAUUUAAAUCUUGUCAUGUAUUUAAUCCAAACAGUCACUGGAUAUUUGAAUACCUUUCUGAAAGUUAUUGAUUUGUACAGGGAUUAAGACAGUCCGCAAAUGCUGCCUAAUGGCUAAGUAUGCUCAACUUUUUCUGUUCUUAUUUCUGAUUUUAAGCAUCCACAGUGUUUUAGUUUUAUUUACAGUUCUCUGAAUUAAGUAAAUAAGACAAGUUUGCGAAAGAACUAAGCGCUAACCUUAAAACUCCAUAAAAUAUUUGAUGGUCAUAUUAAUCAAGAGACUUUUCUUAAAAAAAUUACAUUUUACAUUUCUCAUCACUUUCACAACCUCAGGAUGUCUGUAAUUAUAUUAUAGUCAAUAAAGUGAGUUUUAAGUGUGGGUCACUGGUGUAAGGUAUGGAAUAUAUAUAUAUUAAUUAUCAAUGUUUAAUUUAUUACUUUAAGCAUUAUGCACCAGAUGCAGUUUUAAUACUGUCAAUUGUAUUUUUUUUCAAAUGUUUCAUGAUACUAGAUGACAUUGGACACAAAAGACUGUUGUCGACAUCCAAUAGAACUCAAAUUUAUGUCAUAGAAUUAAGGCUGAAUGCAGGGAAUUAGAGCCAAAGAGAGGCCUGAUCUUCCAUUAGCUACUUUUCUGUUUUCAGAAGGACUCCUGACAAUGAAAUGGAAAGGCAAUAUAAAUUAUGCAAUGAAUAAUGGACCUCUUGACUCCCAAAAGCCUUUCCCCAUCUGUAAGACCGAAGUCAGGAAUGUGAUGGAACACUCUCUCAACUUGUCUGGAAAAGUAUGUUACGAACAAUUUGAAAGAAGCUCAACAUCAUCCAAGAUAUCUAACAACUGCAACCUGACUGACCAGUGAGGCACAAUGACACAGGCCCAAAGGAAUAAAAGACUACUGCAAGAGUAGUCAACACUCAAUUUCGUACUGAUCACCCCAGCUAAGAUUCAGACACCAUAUGUUCUAUAAGGGGUAUCUCAAUGGCAGGGUUUGCAUGAGGUGGAGGAUCCAAAAUAAGAUGUUUAAAGAUCACCUGAAAUCGAUUUUGUGGAUGAGGAACAUUCGAAGAAUUCACUAUACGAAUGAAGGUGGAUAAACAAACCAGUUCUUCUGGGCAGGACAUGUGAUUUGUACACCUGACACCAGACUCCCAGAGAGCUCUUGAUGCAGUAGGGAAAUCCCAAGUUGAUUGUGGAAACACUUCAGCAAUGUUCUCAGAGAAUGCCUGAAGAGAUCAGCAUUCCCACUGAUACAUCCCUUCUGGCUUGUGACCAAUCAAAAUGAAGGAGAUUCAUUUAGGAAGGCUCUGAAGAUAGGUGAAACUUGGUUUGGAAAAUAUAAUGGUGAAGUUGGGACAGCAGAGAGAAUGCACAUACCUCGAAAGAUCUUGUCUAUCUGACCCUUCAAACGUUACCCGCCCUGCAUGUGGCAGAGUAUGCAGGUUGCAUGUUGCAUUUAUCAGCCAUUGAGAAUUCUUGGAACUGGAGUAGAAGUAAAUCAUCCUUCAUCUCAAAGGAAUCCCUCAGAAGGAAGAACCAUGUAUGGUGAUACCAUCACUAUGGAACUGCAUAUCUGCAAAACAAUUUGAACGAUUGUACACAUGAACUCAGCUUGCUGUUAAGGGAGAAUGCUUUUUGAUUAAUUCACUGAGCUGAAUGGAAUGUUUUGUUAUAUACUUUCCCUCUUGUCUGAGGUGAUGAUGAUGAUAUUCAUCAUCUGCAAUGUUUGGUGGUGUUCAGGCAGGUGCAUAGAUGACUGCUAUCCAGAAGGUAUUCCUCAAAAGGGACAAGUUACCUCAGACAAUUUAGUUAUGGAUGAGCUCUUGGGUAUAAAUUUCUCUCCAUACAUUUGCUGUCUGCUUUUGAUAUGCACUUGCUUUCAAAGGAAGUUAUGCUAUUUUUAUAUUUUGUUGUGUCAUGUGCAAUGAUCCUUGGUGAACUCUUCCCAGAACUGUAAGUCAAUAUGAAAGCUCUUAAGUUAAGCCUUCAGCAUCACAUUGUAGACUUUUCCUCGUCCACCAUGAGAACACACUCUAGGCUCAAAUUCUCUGUAAAUUUAUUUUGUUCAACAAAUGGCAAUCAUUCUGUCUACAUCACCCAGCCUAACUCAGUUGUGACGGUCUCAGUGUAGUGCGAAUAUGUGGCAUCCUAGCAAAGCUAGACUCCUCAGUAUUUAUUGGUAUUUUGAUAUUUUUUUCUACAGUCUGAUCUUCAGAAGCUUCUGAAGACAGCUGAAGAGAAAGUGACUGAAUUUCUUAGCAUUGGCUGAACUAUUCGGGUGUCCAUGGAAAAUGUAUCUGAGAGUCAGACAAUAUAGACUAUUGUUGGUAAUGGUUGCUAUUACUGCGCAAUUCCAAGGGAUGGAGCUGUGAACAAAGUUUCAGAACAUGAAAUAAAUGUGACUAGCUAAAUGAUAUUUUGAUUGCAGUUUUGUCCCUCUGCAUUUAACCCUGAUCUCUCAACAGACAGUUGAUCACCACUUUGCAGAUCUGACUGCCUUCACUCCCAAUCAAACCCUCAGCCCUCCACCCUGGCCUUCAUAUAUAUCGGAAAUCACCUCUCCCCCAACUCAGACCCCAACUUCCAGGAUCUAACAUUCCCCCAACAACUGCCUCGAAUAUAAAACUAUCACCCCAACACCCGGGGACCUAACUGACACUAACUCCCACUCCUCACGGGCUUUAAAUAUAUAAUAAUGCAGCAACAAUCCAAACAUGCUGCUGCGUUACUGAACCUUAGCUCUUAUCUGCCUCUCUCCUGCUUCAACCCCAAAGCAUCCCUAUCUCUAACUGCAAACUAGGAAAUCCUCACAUCCAGUAUCAGUCCCAGAAGCACCUCAAUUCUGGAUAAUUCCCUUAAAUUUACUCUUUUAGAUUACUUUUCAGUGUUUCAUUCAGACAUUCCCAGAAAACCGAUCCUAUUCUCACACUAAUUAUUCUAGAAACUAUAUACACAAGAAUAUAAGGUAUUUUUGGAGCAUAGAAAACCAUCUGGUGAAUUCAAUUCACUCCAUUCAAAUUCCAUGGGUAAAUAUUAAAUUUCUGUGAAUGCUGCCACUAUUACUUUAGGAAUACUGUUCCUUUCGCCAUCUGAAAAAUAAAUCUGGAAGUGCUAUUAUUUGCCCUGUAACACUUUAAUUUCCCCUUCUUCUAGGAUAUCAGAGCAUUUUUAAGGUGUCGUUUGCAUUGAAUGAAGUCACUUGGAGUCAGAACUUUAUUCCAUGGUUUCAUUACCCCAUUGAGAACAUGAUUUUAUUUCUAACAUUAAACUUACUUCAAGGAUGUGAAUUCUGUAUUGGUUUACAUCUGCUCUCUAAUCCUAUGCUCAAUGUACAUAAUUGAAUCUUAUCUGUUCAUUUCAUUGUUUUGAAGAUAUAUUAUGUAUCCUCUUAUUUAGCUUUCCUCUGGCAAAAAUAAAUUUAGGUCAUUUGAAUCUCUUCAGAAAUUAAUCCUGUAAGACUUGGACUCAUCCUAAUUGUUAUUCACUGAAUAAUUUCUUAAUGUACCUCUCUUUCUUUGAUGUAGGGUCACCAAAAGUGCACAACCAGGAUUGUACCUUUAAGCUAAAUCUCAGGUGUCACAAUUUACGAAAAGCAGUAAUGUGAAGUCACAAAAAUGUGGAUUUUGCCCUUUGGGUCAGAACCUUGAGACAAAUAGGUGUCAUCAAUCUGCACAGUGUGGGAAACCGUCACCCUGCACUCAUUUUUUUCCAAAAUUUGCCAAUUCGUAGCCAAAGGCUGACCUCGUCAUUCACAGGGCAGUGGAUAGACCCUGAAAAUUAGAGAAUUAAUACGAGAUCCUCAAGCUCAGAAGAAGACAAAGUCUGAACAUCAGCUAAAAGAGAGAGAAAGAGAAGGCAGCUUUCCUCCAAGUUCUUUCAUUUUUAAAUGUGACCAUUGUGGAGGAGUAGGUCUUCACAUGGCUGCUUGCUGCUGCACCAGAGGCCAGGUAGGGAGGGAGAGCAUCAAAGUAUUCCCAGAGCCUUGCCUCCCUCAUCCUGUGCUAGCAGAUAACUUCCAUGCAGAUGGGAAGUAGGACA